rnacentral:tRNA from 2 species
GUUCUUGUAAUUUAAUGCAAAAUAUUGGUCUUGUAAACCAAAACUAAGAAUUUCUUCUAGAACA